rnacentral:misc_RNA from 1 species
GUCAAUGAUGCCCGCCGUUGUCUAAAAUGGUCGAAUUUCUGUCGUCUGCGAAGAGCUCUGGCUCGUCUGAAAGGCAGACGGAAGCGCUGGUAUGUCUUCGACCAGCACAGCUGCUCUUUGGAUUCCUACAAGAACGACUUGGAUGCUGCAUCAAGAAAGCCUCCUUUAUUCAGCAUCGACCUUCGUAAUGCUGCUAUUUCCUUCCUAGUGGAUGAGGAAAACUGCUUUGUCAUUCACUCUGGAGCCAAGGAGUAUGUCUUUGUGGCUGGAAACCAUGAGUCAAUGAUGGCAUGGGUCAUGGCUCUACAGGCCAACAGAGACCUGUGCCGGGAGCAAGAGCCAAUUAAUUCUGUGCAAGUGGAGGAAGAUGACGUUGUGAAGAGAAAAAUAUCUCUACCGGUAAACAAAACUUGGUGCUCUGUACGAAGGCGUGCAUUGUGAGAAAAAAAUUGGCAAACAGAUGCUUCCAUGCUUUCUAAAAGCUUCGUGUUUAGGUCACUGUUUGCCAUUGUUAGAGCUUAUUUUCAUAUGGUACUGUGGCUGUA